GGGCGCCGGGGACUCCUGCUACUUCCUCCGUCUUCCCUGAGUCCUGCUUCAUGCUUAGCUACACAUACGACCUCCAGACAAACAGCGUCAAGGCACCAAGGUGGUGCUGUCUGCGCUGAGUUUUAUGGCCUGAGUGGUACUUGUGUCAUGGAGUCAGCUGUGCUAAGGCCUCAGUUCACCAGCUCCUCACAAAUGGUCCUCGAGCUGUCAUGACAGGAGAAGAUAUCCUAAGGAGACAUUUGCUGUCUCCCUGGCACCCCCACCCCGACCCCAGCUAUCAGGCUACUCAUACAACGCAACUGGAGGAACUGGAAUUGCCCAGGCAUCUUGUGAUGGGGAAGGGAAUAGGGAGACUGCCUCUCAGAAAGAGUCCACGCAGCUCUCACACCUUGUCAGAGGGGCUUGCAGGACUGAUACAGCCAUGGAGAUCCUGCAGCUUUGGUGCUUCACGCGCCAUGGGCCAGCAGUCAGUGGGACCACACCUUGACUGAAGCUGCUUAGCUGUGCAUACCCGUGACCUUUGCUUAAAGUGAAAUUUCGUGUCAGGACCCUGGAAGACAAACCUGGGGCUCAGCAAAACUCUGCCCACUUCCUAAUGUGGCC